UCUUUUGCAGUUGCCUCAAAAGAUUGAAGACUCUCAAGUUGUCUUCUCUCUGGAUUCAAAGUGUGUCCCCCUCCAGAGAGCCAGCAGAGCUGGAGCAGAGCAUGGCCCCUGCCACCAGCCACACAGAGAUCUGGGCCAUUGGGAAUGGCAGGGGGAGUGUCAGGCCCAUGAGCAGCAGCGGGUCAUCUUUGGUUUUCUGGAAGCGCGAUUCUCCAGCAGGCCGCAAGGGGGCGCGCAGUGGCUUUUCUGAAAAACCUUCUUGGUAGCCUUGCUUUGCUGUAGGUCUGGGCUCAGCCAAGGAAGUCCCUACCCAGGGACUUUCUGCUGCUUUUAUAGUGAGGAAACAUCCUCCCAACCUGCGACUGCGUUUUGCAAAAGGGUGCUUGAAGAUGGUGCGUUUUGGUAAAGACGACUGUUGGGGGAAAGGCUCCUCGUGGACACAGGCUGUGCUGUGUGCGGGGCCAGGAUUUGGAAAACGGGGCUGAAAAUGGUAAAAUUGACAGUUAUUUGUGAGCAAAAAUGAAACAAAUAGAAUUCUGACUGUCAUAGAAGAGAAAGAAGGGAAGUGACUUCUGAUGACAAGAAAACAAGGUGUAAGUUGGCAGAAUUGGUAGCAGCUACACAGGUGCCUGGUGCUGAGGCAGAGGGAGGAUGGAGCCAGCCCUGAGCUACACCAACUCAGGGAUGGGCUGCCUCUACCAGAGGCUCAAAGAACAGGACCUCCUGGGCCAGUGACCAGCCGAGUCACUUUCCUGUCAUUUAAUGCUCAUGGGAGCAGCUCUGAGGACUAAAGGGAAGACUCACAGUAACCAACUCUCAGAAGACUGAUGACCACAACACGCCCUGCUGGAGCAGGACCCUCCCUGCUGCCUAGUGGAUAUUAAUCUGAUGUACCUGCUCGA